rnacentral:rRNA from 1 species
UACGUAGGUGGCAAGCGUUGUCCGGAAUUAUUGGGCGUAAAGAGCUCGUAGGCGGUUUGUCGCGUCUGCUGUGAAAUCCUCAGGCUCAACUUGGGGCGUGCAGUGGGUACGGGCAGACUAGAGUGCGGUAGGGGAGACUGGAAUUCCUGGUGUAGCGGUGGAAUGCGCAGAUAUCAGGAGGAACACCGAUGGCGAAGGCAGGUCUCUGGGCCGUUACUGACGCUGAGGAGCGAAAGCAUGGGGAGCGAACAGG